GGGGCUAUAGCUCAGUUGGUAGAGCGCCUGCAUGGCAUGCAGGAGGUCAGGAGUUCAAUUCUCCUUAGCUCCACAC
rnacentral:tRNA from 1 species